CGGAGUUCAGUCUUCCCAGGCCCACCACUUUCAUCGAGUGAGCAUUCGUCUUCUGGUUACGGGGCCAUAGCUCAGCUGGGAGAGCGCGUGCUUUGCAAGCAUGAGGUCGUCGGUUCGAUCCCGUCUGGCUCCACCAGAUGGUUUGAUCACCGAGAUCUUGUACCGUCGUCCGCGAAACAUCACUUCGCAUCCUGCUAGUCUGGAUAGACAGCAAGAUGCGUGUUUUCUGACAUCGUAAAGAGGAGAUCGAUCCGAGUUGGGUCGUGCAGCGGAUUGUUGCGCGAAUCCUUCAUUAUCUCCGGAUCAUUUUCGGCGCUCGCUUUCAGCCGUGAGGUUGAAUGCGAGUUGUAAAAUGAUCCUUUUAGCGAAGCUUGACCGCCUCGCUAUCGGAACGAUCUUACGAAGCAAGCUGGUCUUUCUAGUCAAUGUCCGGCUGUGCGUAGCGUUCAUCGAGGGCGCGUGCCGUAAGGCAAUCGUACAGACAACAUUCUGCCGAGUGUGUGGACAUUGAUAAUGAGAGCAAUCAAGUGCCUUAAGGGUGUUCGGUGGAUGCCUUGGCGCUGAGAGGCGAUGAAGGACGUGCUACGCUGCGAUAAGCCGUGGGGAGCUGCGAAGAAGCUUUGAUCCGCGGAUUUCCGAAUGG
rnacentral:misc_RNA from 2 species